rnacentral:lncRNA from 1 species
GAAGUGUGGGGACUUGAAUUGCAAUUCUAUCAUACUUAUCCAUUUAAAACCUCAAACAUAUCUAUUUUCUCUCAUUUUUGGGGCCAAAACAUAGAGAGGAAGCAGAGAACGAAAUUGGAGAAAAAGAGGGAGAAAAAGGGAAGGAAAAAAGAAAAGAAAAAAGAAAAGAAAGGAAAUGAAAGAGGUUGAUGAUUUUUGAAAGUUUGGGUUCUUCAUUUCUUCAACUUAUCCUUAUUUUAAAGAGGUAAGUUAAUUAAAUUUCUAGAGUUUAUAAACCAUUCAUAUAUAUUCGAAGUUUAGCAAGAAUUAGAGAUUAUUAUUGUUAUAUUUUUGAGGUAUUAAGCAAGAAUAUAUCAAAGAAAUGUUAUUAGAGUAUUGAAAUUGAAGAAAGUUGAAUUUUGAAAUGGGUUUGUAAUUUAGAGCUUGAAUCUUUGAUCUAUUGUGUGUAUAUGAUAUAAAACACCUUAUUUGUGAUUAAUUAUAGUGAGAUAUGAAGUUAAGAUUAUAUUUUGGAAAUUAUAAGCAAUUUUCGUGCAAAAUUCAUGUGCAGUUGCCAAUUCUGAAAAUCUGCCCAGAAUGGUGCUAAUUCUGUCAAAGGUUUUGCUGCCAGAUUUUGAUGUUAUGGGGCUUUAGUGCUGUUUUUGUCAAAACUCUUAUUUUCAGAUUUUUAAAGGCUUGAAUGAAGUUAUAUGACAAGGGUUGAAGUUCAUGUAUUGGAAUAAAUUAUGUAUAGAGGUUAUAUAUGUAUAAGUUAUUGAUUUUAAGGAAGUGUGCGUAUUUUAAUGGAAUUGAUAAUGAAUGGUGAUUAGUUGAUAAAUCAUUAGAGAGGAGAAAAGUUGGAAAAUUGGAGAUGUAAGAGUAAAUAUAGAAAUUAAGAAGUUGAGAAGUAGAAUUGUGUUAAUUUAAUUGCCUGAUUUUAAUUUGAGAAAUUAUACCGUUAUUUCAGGUAGAGACAUGAAAGCUUGGAAUGACACGUCAAUUUAGGCAGAUUUCUAUUCAUGGAUCUGUGAGUAGAAAAAUAUAAAUAUUUUAAAAAUAUUUAUGAAUUAAGUAUAUUAUCAAAGUAUGUGCAAUUAUGUGUUCGAAUUAUAUGGUCAUUAUCGAAAUAUCUUUUAUUAUGAUACAUCAAUUUAGGCAGAUUUCUAUUCAUGGAUCUGUGAGUAGAAAAAUAUAAAUAUUUUAAAAAUAUUUAUGAAUUAAGUAUAUUAUCAAAGUAUGUGCAAUUAUGUGUUCGAAUUAUAUGGUUAUUAUCGAAAUAUCUUUUAUUAUGAUACAUAUGGACUUUCAAAGAUUGUAUACAGUACAUUGUGAAUUAUAUGAUCUUAAGAUCUAUCAGAAAAGUACCCGUAAUUAUAUAUUUCUUCUAGUUCGCUGAUGGGCCUUGGUCGUGUUCUAUCCUACACAGAGAGUCUUGACCUGACAUUGGUCUUGAUCGUGUACAUAUAGUUCACAGAGGGGUUUUGGCCGUGUUCUAGAAUUGAUUAUAAGAGGUGUUUGAGACCGACUUUCAUUCACGGAGGGGGCCAAAGGCCAGUGAUGAAAGUUCUUAGACCGAG